GGGCCGGUAGAUCAACGGUAGAUCGCCACAUUGGCAUUGUGGAGGCUUCGGGUUCGAAUCCCGACCGGUCCA
rnacentral:tRNA from 1 species